AGUAAAACAGUACGUGAAAUUGUUGAAAGGGAAACGAUUGAAGUCAGUCAUGCCGGCGUUGGAUUCAGCUUGCUUCGCGGAGCUUGCGCAUUUCCUCGCAUGGCAGGUCAGCGUCAGUUUUGCGCGGCGUGAAAAGGCUCGGGUAAGGUAGCUCUCUUCGGGGAGUGUUAUAGACCUGGGCAAAUGCGCAGCGCGAGACUGAGGAUUGCAGCGGACACCUCUUCGGAGGCGCGGCGACCGAACCCUGCUCGGCCACCCUCGUUCGAUAGCGUGCUAGCGGACGCGGGAGCGGCAGUGCACCGGAACAGGCAAGCCAGCGGUUCGCUUAGGAUGCUGACGUAAUGGCUUUAAA
rnacentral:misc_RNA from 1 species